rnacentral:lncRNA from 1 species
UUCCACAAAAUAAUCAUUAUUCCACAAUAAGUGUGCUAUAUACAUAUAAACAUAAUAAGUGUGCUAUAUACAUACGUGGAAUCAGCUCGUGCAGAUACUAUUCUACAAAAUAAUCACUAUUUUUACACUAUGUACUAUCCAUCGCUGAUACAAAAUCCCAAUUCAAGCAUAAGAAAGAAGAAGAGCAUCAGAGGGAAAUACAACCAACUAUAAAUUGUAGAAGCUAAUUUACCUACCAGAUCUGACAUUCACCAUAGAGAAGAUUGUAUAUUUAUCAGUGACAGAGACAAACAAGUGUAAUGCCAGAAAAACAAUGAUAUUCUGUGUAAUUGAAAAGACUGACAGACUAAACAAAACGAGCAAACACACAAAGCAUAAAUCAAAAUGACAAUACAAUAAAUACGUUACAAACAAGGAAAGGCCAGACAAGCAAAGCAGAAUAGCAAGUGAUACUAUCUUAAGUGAAAUAGUUCAAUUCGAUACGAAUACUAUUUCAUUUCAAAUGGACUCGAGUUUAUAAAUAUCAUAGUAUGUCUACUUAGUGAGCAUUUGUAAGCUGUGAUAUUCUACACAUCUUCCCCUAAAUUACUACACUACUUAUUUUGCAGUACUGACACAAAGAUAAUUCAAAUUAAAGGAACCCUCACACAACCCGGAAAAACCCAAACCCUAAAUCAAAUUGGAAAAGGCCGAUGAGAGGGAUUAAUUCUGUAACGGUACCGAUGGUAUGCAACAGGAACGAUGAUACUAUUCUAAAUGGAAUAGAUGAAUUAGAUAAGUAUACUAUUACAUCCCAAAUGGAAUAAAGGUUUUAAAUUAGAUAAGUAUACUAU